rnacentral:rRNA from 1 species
UAGGGAAUCUUCGGCAAUGGACGGAAGUCUGACCGAGCAACGCCGCGUGAGUGAAGAAGGUUUUCGGAUCGUAAAGCUCUGUUGUAAGAGAAGAACGAGUGUGAGAGUGGAAAGUUCACACUGUGACGGUAUCUUACCAGAGAGGGACGGCUAACUACGUGCCAGCAGCCGCGGUAAUACGUAGGUCCCGAGCGUUAUCCGGAUUUAUUGGGCGUAAAGCGAGCGCAGGCGGUUAGAUAAGUCUGAAGUUAAAGGCUGUGGCUUAACCAUAGUACGCUUUGGAAACUGUUUAACUUGAGUGCAAGAGGGGAGAGUGGAAUUCCAUGUGUAGCGGUGAAAUGCGUAGAUAUAUGGAGGAACACCGGCGGCGAAAGCGGCUCUCUGGCUUGUAACUGACGCUGAGGCUCGAAAGCGUGGGGAGCAAACAGGAUUAGAUACCCUGGUAGUCCACGCCGUAAACGAUGAGUGCUAGGUGUUGGGUCCUUUCCGGGACUCAGUGCCGCANCNNNNNGCAUUAAGCACUCCGCCUGGGGAGUACGACCGCAAGGUUG